AGCGAACGUUAGCGGCACGCCUAACACAUGCAAGUCGCACGAGAACAGGGGGCAACCCUUAGUAAAGUGGCGCACGGGUGCGUAACACGUAGAUAACCUGCCCUUUGGAGGGGGAUAACGUUCCGAAAGGAGCGGCUAAUACCGCAUACAGCAAGAGCCGGUUCGCCGGUUUUUGGCAAAGGUAGGGAUACCGCAAGGACCUACCGCCAGAGGAGGGGUCUGCGGCCCAUCAGCUAGUUGGUGAGGUAANGGCUCACCAAGGCAGAGACGGGUAGCUGGUCUGAGAGGAUGAUCAGCCACACUGGUACUGG
rnacentral:rRNA from 1 species